AUUGAACGCUGGCGGCAGGCUUAACCCAUGCAAGUCGAGCGAGCGGCGGACGGGUGAGUAAUGUCUGGGAAACUGCCUGAUGGAGGGGGAUAACUACUGGAAACGGUAGCUAAUACCGCAUACCAUCAGAUGUGCCCCUAUGGGAUUCGCUAGUAGGUGGGGUAAUGGCUUACCUAGGCGACGAUCCCUAGCUGGUCUGAGAGGAUGACCAGCCACACUGGAACUGAGACACGGUCCAGACUCCUACGGGAGGCAGCAGUGGGGAAUAUUGCACAAUGGGCGCAAGCCUGAUGCAGCCAUGCCGCGUGUAUGAAGAAGGCAUUCGGGUUGUAAAGCACUUUCAGCGAGGAGGCGUUACCCGCAGAAGAAGCACCGGCUAACUCCGUGCCAGCAGCCGCGGUAAUAC
rnacentral:rRNA from 1 species